rnacentral:rRNA from 1 species
AUUGAACGCUGGCGGCAUGCCUUACACAUGCAGGUCGAACGGCAGCACGGGUGCUUGCACCUGGUGGCGAGUGGCGAACGGGUGAGUAAUACAUCGGAACAUGUCCUGUAGUGGGGGAUAGCCCGGCGAAAGCCGGAUUAAUACCGCAUACGAUCUACGGAUGAAAGCGGGGGACCUUCGGGCCUCGCGCUAUAGGGUUGGCCGAUGGCUGAUUAGCUAGUUGGUGGGGUAAAGGCCUACCAAGGCGACGAUCAGUAGCUGGUCUGAGAGGACGACCAGCCACACUGGGACUGAGACACGGCCCAGACUCCUACGGGAGGCAGCAGUGGGGAAUUUUGGACAAUGGGCGAAAGCCUGAUCCAGCAUGCCGCGUGUGUGAAGAAGGCCUUCGGGUUGUAAAGCACUUUUGUCCGGAAAGAAAUCCUUGGCCCUAAUACGGUCGGGGGAUGACGGUACCGGAAGAAUAAGCACCGGCUAACUACGUG